GAUGAACGCUGGCGGCGUGCCUAAUACAUGCAAGUCGAGCGAACAGAUGAGGAGCUUGCUCCUCUGACGUUAGCGGCGGACGGGUGAGUAACACGUGGAUAACCUACCUAUAAGACUGGGAUAACUUCGGGAAACCGGAGCUAAUAUCGGAUAAUAUAUUGAACCGCAUGGUUCAAUAGUGAAAGACGGUUUUGCUGUCACUUAUAGAUGGAUCCGCGCCGCAUUAGCUAGUUGGUAAGGUAACGGCUUACCAAGGCAACGAUGCGUAGCCGACCUGAGAGGGUGAUCGGCCACACUGGAACUGAGACACGGUCCAGACUCCUACGGGAGGCAGCAGUAGGGAAUCUUCCGCAAUGGGCGAAAGCCUGACAGAGCAACGCCGCGUGAGUGAUGAAGGUCUUCGGAUCGUAAAACUCUGUUAUUAGGGAAGAACAAAUGUGUAAGUAACUAUGCACGUCUUGACGGUACCUAAUCAGAAAGCCACGGCUAACUACGUG
rnacentral:rRNA from 1 species